AGGCCAAUGAGGCACAAAGUAAUAUACCAUGAUCAGGAAGGUGGUUUGCCCAGGGUGAUGCUUAGCCAUUGCACUCCAACUGUGCUGACUCUUGCAAAUAUCCCUAAUGUUGGAAUCUAGACUGCAUAAUUUCAUAUAAUGGGAACCUACUUUUGCACUGUCUCUUG
ensembl:snRNA U1 U1 spliceosomal RNA